AGUGAACGCUGGCGGUAGGCCUAACACAUGCAAGUCGAACGGCAGCACAGGAGAGCUUGCUCUCUGGGUGGCGAGUGGCGGACGGGUGAGGAAUACAUCGGAAUCUACUCUGUCGUGGGGGAUAACGUAGGGAAACUUACGCUAAUACCGCAUACGACCUACGGGUGAAAGCAGGGGAUCUUCGGACCUUGCGCGAUUGGAUGAGCCGAUGUCGGAUUAGCUAGUUGGCGGGGUAAAGGCCCACCAAGGCGACGAUCCGUAGCUGGUCUGAGAGGAUGAUCAGCCACACUGGAACUGAGACACGGUCCAGACUCCUACGGGAGGCAGCAACUGGGAAUAUUGCGCAAUGGGCGAAAGCCUGACGCAGCGACUCCGCGUGAGGGAUGAAGGUCUUUGGAUCGUAAACCUCUUUUGACGAGGAAGCCGAGAUUACAUCAAGGGACGGUGCUCGUAGAAUAAGCAUCUGCUAACCACGUGCCAGCAGCCGCCGUAA
rnacentral:rRNA from 1 species